CGCCCAUCCCUCUUUGUGUGCAUCGGGAAACUGCGGAGCUAGUGGAGGCGACAGUUGGCGUUGGAGGCUUAAGUAAGGAUCGUUACCGGGAAGUUAAGGGCGGGAGGACUCUUUCUCAUCCCGCCACCUGACAGGUCACAAACAUGUCGGACAAAAGUGAAUUAAAGGCUGAGUUGGAACGUAAGAAGCAGCGGUUGGCCCAAAUCAGAGAGGAAAAGAAGCGAAAAGAAGAAGAAAGGAAAAAAAAAGAAACUGAUCAGAAGAAGGAAGCUGUUGCUCCUGUGCAAGAAGAAUCAGAUCUUGAAAAAAAAAGAAGAGAAGCUGAAGCUUUGCUUCAAAGCAUGGGGCUAACUCCAGAAUCCC